UGCCAGCCGCCGCGGUAAUACGAAAGGGGCUAGCGUUGUUCGGAAUUACUGGGCGUAAAGCGCGCGUAGGCGGCAUACCAAGUUGGGGGUGAAAUCCCGGGGCUCAACCCCGGAACUGCCUCCAAAACUGGUAAGCUAGAGGAUGUGAGAGGAUAGUGGAAUUCCGAGUGUAGAGGUGAAAUUCGUAGAUAUUGGGAAGAACACCAGUGGCGAAGGCGGCUAACUGGCUCGGUACUGACGCUGAGAUGCGAAAGCGUGGGGAGCAAACAGGAUUAGAUA
rnacentral:rRNA from 1 species